CAAUUAUAAAUGACUUCUUACAACUCUUUAGUGUCAAAAUAUAUUUUGUUGAAGUUAACAAAAAAAAUAAAAUUAUUACUUAUAAAAUAAUCAAAAUUUAAUAAGUAUUACAUGCAAAGUAGGAAAUUAUGGCUCAACUUCUCACGUUUGUUUAUGCUUUGAUCAUCUUUCUUUCUCUAUUUCUUAUCAUAACAAGCAGAACUCGAUUGCCCUGUGAGAAGGACGAUGAUUGUCCAGAUGCAUUUUUGCCACCGGUUAUGAAAUGUAUUGAUAAUUAUUGUGAGUACGAGAUACCGUCAUAAUUAAGUAAAUAAUGUAUUGAAUAUCGGAGUAAUAAUUAAGUUUAAAACUAAAUUGUGCUAUUAUUGUUAAAAUUAUUAUAAUUAUGUGGUUAUGUUAACGAGUGUCCCAAGGACACUGAUUAAGAAUUUCAAAUAUAAAAAAAUAUUAUUUAAUUAAAUCAAUAAUUUAAACUUCCAA